rnacentral:rRNA from 1 species
CCUGCCUACGGGAGGCAGCAGUAGGGAAUCUUCCACAAUGGGCGAAAGCCUGAUGGAGCAACGCCGCGUGAGUGAAGAAGGGUUUCGGCUCGUAAAGCUCCGUUGGUAGUGAAGAAAGAUAGAGGUAGUAACUGGCCUUUAUUUGACGGUAAUUGCUUAGAAAGUCACGGCUAACUACGUGCCAGCAGCCGCGGUAAUACGUAGGUGGCAAGCGUUGUCCGGAUUUAUUGGGCGUAAAGCGAGUGCAGGCGGUUCAAUAAGUCUGUUU